rnacentral:rRNA from 1 species
UACGGAGGGGGCAAGCGUUGUUCGGAAUUACUGGGCUUAAAGCGUGUGUAGGCGGGAUGGAAGGUACUACGUGAAAGCCCCCGGCUCAACCGGGGAAUUGCGCGGUAAACCAUCAUUCUUGAGGCCAGCAGGGGUACCUGGAACUUUGGGUGGAGCGGUGAAAUGCGUAGAUAUCCAAGGGAACGCCGGUGGCGAAAGCGGGGUACUGGGCUGGUUCUGUACUGACACUGAGGUGCGAAAGCGUGGGUAGCGAACAGG